AGUGAACGCUGGCGGCGUGCCUAAUACAUGCAAGUAGGACGAAGUUGCGAACGAGUGAGUAACGCGUAGGUAACUACCUAUUGGAGGGGGAUAACUAGUGGAAACGAUAGCUAAUACCGCAUACCAGUCGAUAGCCCUUCGUUGUGUUAGAUAGUAGGUAGGGAAAUGGCCUACCUAGACAACGAUACAUAGCCGAGCUGAGGGGGGUGUCGGCAAAAAUUGGACGGAGAAACGGCCCAUACUCCUACGGGAGGCAGGAGUAGGGAACAUUCGGCAAUGGGGGGAACCCUGACCCAGCAACGCCGCGUGAGUGAAGAAGGUGUUCGGAACGUAAAGCUCUGUUGUUAUGGAAGCGGUACUUAGCCAGAAAGGGACGGCUAACUACGUGCCAGCAGGCGCGGUAAUAC
rnacentral:rRNA from 1 species